UGCAAGUCGAGCGAGAAAAGUUCCUUCGGGAACCUAGUACAGCGGCGUACGGGUGAGUAACGCGUGGGCGACCUGCCCAGAUGAUUGGGAUAACAGUUGGAAACGGCUGCUAAUACCGAAUACGAAUCAUAUUAAGUAUGAUUGAAAGGGUGCCUCUAAACUAUGCAUCUGCAUCUGGAUGGGCCCGCGUCUCAUUAGCUUGUUGGUAGGGUAACGGCCUACCAAGGCGACGAUGAGUAGCUGGUUUGAGAGGAUGACC
rnacentral:rRNA from 1 species